rnacentral:rRNA from 1 species
UGGGGAAUAUUGCACAAUGGACGGAAGUCUGAUGCAGCGACGCCGCGUGGGGGAUGAAGGCUUUCGGGCUGUAAACUCCUUUCAGUCCAGAAGAAGCUUUAUUGUGACGGUAUGUGCAGAAGAAGCGCCGUCUAACUACGUGCCAGCAGUCGCGGUAAUACGUAGGGCGCGAGCGUUGUCCGGAAUUAUUGGGCGUAAAGAGCUCGUAGGCGGUUUGUCGCGUCUGCUGUGAAAGACCGGGGCUUAACUCCGGGGCUGCAGUGGGUACGGGCAGGCUGGAGUGCGGUAGGGGUAACCGGAAUUCCUGGUGUAGCGGUGGAAUGCGCAGAUAUCAGGAGGAACACCGAUGGCGAAGGCAGGUUACUGGGCCGUUACUGACGCUGAGGAGCGAAAGCAUGGGGAGCGAACAGG